CCUACGGGUGGCAGCAGUGGGGAAUAUUGCACAAUGGGGGAAACCCUGAUGCAGCGAAGCCGCGUGAGUGAAGAAGUCUUUCGGUAUGUAAAGCUCUAUCAGCAGGGAAGAAAAUGACGGUACCUGAUUAAGAAGCCCCGGCUAACUACGUGCCCGCAGCCGCGGGAAUACGUAGGGGGCAAGCGUUAUCCGGAUGUACUGGGUGUAAAGGGAGCGUUGACGGCAGCACAAGUCUGGAGUGAAAUGCCGGGGCUUAACCCCGGAACUGCUUUGGAAACUGUGCAGCUAGAGUGCAGGAGAGGUAAGUGGAAUUCCUAGUGUAGCGGUGAAAUGCGUAGAUAUUAGGAGGAACACCAGUGGCGAAGGCGGCUUACUGGACUGUAACUGACGUUGAGGCUCGAAAGCGUGGGGAGCAAACAGGAUUAGAUACCCGGGUAGUC
rnacentral:rRNA from 1 species